rnacentral:rRNA from 1 species
AUUGAACGCUGGCGGCAGGCCUAACACAUGCAAGUCGAACGAGUGGCGGACGGGUGAGUAAUGUCUGGGAAACUGCCCGAUGGAGGGGGAUAACUCCUGGAAACGGUAGCUAAUACCGCAUACCAUCGGAUGUGCCCCGAUGGGAUUAGCUAGUAGGUGGGGUAACGGCUCACCUAGGCGACGAUCCCUAGCUGGUCUGCGAGGAUGACCAGCCACACUGGAACUGAGACACGGUCCAGACUCCUACGGGAGGCAGCAGGGGGGAAUAGUGCACAAUGGGCGCAAGCCUGAUGCAGCCAUGCCGCGUGGAUGAAGAAGGCCUUCGGGUUGUAAAGAACUUUCAGCGAGGAGGCGUUACCAACAGAAUAAGCACCGGCUAACUUCGUGCCAGCAGCCGCGGUAAUAC